rnacentral:SRP_RNA from 17 species
UGAUGAGCUAGUCCGGGUAGCCCGGCGUUACCUGUAACCCGAGAUCGCCGAUACGCGGGGGACGAAGCCAAGGGAAGAUGCGUCGAAGGGACUCCAGCCUGGAAUCUCAACGGAGAAGCCCCGUCCUGCUUGGAUGGUGCAGGUAUGCGGGUUUGCUGGAGAGCAGGUCUUCAUACCAUAACUGCGGAAACCGGUCGAGGCCCGGAAGGGAGCAGACUUACUGUGGGCAACUAUCGCUUGCGGGGCUGCGGGGUGGAGAAGAGGUCCCAGUCUCCUGGUAUCUCCAAGAUUCAACGACCCGAGGCGUGCUCAUCG